CACCAGCGCCACGAGUGGGGACCAGUAUUAUUGGGCCUAAAGCAUCCGUAGCCGGGUUGGUAAAUCUUUUGUGAAAUUGUCUGGCUCAACCAGACAGCGUGCAGAGGACACUGCCGAUCUUGAGACCGGGAGGAGUUAGAAGUAUGCAUUGGGUAGCGGUAAAAUGCUAUAAUCCCUUGCAGACUACCUGUGGCGAAGGCGUCUAACUAGAACGGGUCUGACGGUGAGGGAUGAAAGCUGGGGGAGCGAU
rnacentral:rRNA from 1 species